rnacentral:rRNA from 1 species
GACGAACCGUGCGACCGUUGUUCGGAAUCACUGGGCUUAAAGGGCGCGUAGGCGGCAUAGCAAGUCCGGGGUGAAAGCCCCCGGCUCAACCGGGGAAGUGCCUUGGAAACUGCUGUGCUCGAGGGAGGUAGGGGUCGAGGGAACUUCUGGUGGAGCGGUGAAAUGCGUUGAUAUCAGGAGGAACGCCGGUGGCGAAAGCGCUCGACUGGACCUUUUCUGACGCUGAGGCGCGAAAGCUAGGGGAGCAAACGGG